CUAAGCGCCAUUCAGCCGGCGCGGGGCCGACAGUCCGAGGAUCCCCGCGCAUGCUUAGACUCUUGGGAGUUGUAGUACGAUCCAGUCAGUGUUGAAACUAUGGCGGUGACCAAGGAGCUCUUACAGAUGGACCUGUAUGCGCUGCUAGGUAUUGAGGAGAAGGCGGCGGACAAAGAGGUGAAGAAAGCAUAUAGGCAGAAGGCCCUUUCCUGCCACCCAGACAAAAAUCCGGAUAAUCCCAGAGCAGCUGAACUCUUCCACCAGCUUUCUCAGGCCUUGGAGGUACUGACUGACUCUGCCGCUAGGGCUGCGUAUGACAAGGUCAGGAAAGCCAAGAAGCAAGCAGCAGAAAGGACCCAAAAACUUGAUGAGAAAAGGAAGAAAGUGAAGCUUGACCUGGAAGCCCGGGAGCAGCAGGCCCAGGCUCAGGGCAGUGAGGAAGAAGAGGAGAGCCGGAGCUCAAGGACGCUAGAGCAGGAGAUAGAACGCCUACGAGAAGAAGGUUCCCGGCAGCUAGAGGAACAGCAGAGACUGAUCCGGGAGCAGAUACGCAAGGAACGGGAACAGAGGUUGAGAGGAAAGGCAGAAAAUCCUGAAGGCAAAGGAACCCCCAAGCUAAAGCUAAAAUGGAAGUGCAAGAAGGAGGACGAGUUAAAAGGCGGCUACUCCAGAGAUGUCCUUCUGCGGCUUUUUCAAAAGUAUGGAGAGGUGCUCAACCUGGUGCUUUCCAGUAAGAAGACAGGCACUGCUGUGGUGGAGUUUGCAACCGUCAAGGCUGCGGAGCUGGCUGUCCAGAAUGAAGUGGGCCUGGUCAAUAACCCUCUUAAGAUUUCCUGGUUGGAGGGACGGCCCCAGGGCCUGGAGGACCCCAGACACCCAGGACUGUCACAGGCUUCCAGCUCUUGCAGUCACCCUAUCUCUACCCACCCUCACCCCAUUCAGAAGCUGGGCUCACUGGGAAAUUGCUCUCUCAGCAUCUGUAGAACUUCCUCAAGAAGCGAAAUCCCCAGGUCCACUUUGAAGGAGAAGAAGGGAUCACUAAGGUCUGGAGCAGGUGUCCUCUGGAAGGGAGAGGUGUCCAAAAGGUCCUCCUCAGAGUAUUCAUGGAGGGCGCCCCCCAGGGAGAGCGCCGAGGGCAGAGUAGCCGAGUAGGCAGCGGCGUAGGCAGGUGGGGGCUCCAGGAUGUUGGGGCAGCUGGAGCUCUCUCGGUAGAGGCGUGGGGGUUUGGGUGGGGCCAGUAGGGUGGCCCGGGGCUGCUCGUCCCCCCACAGUGGCAGGCGCCGGCCAUCCGGCCUCCCUCUCAGCUCCCGGACUACCUCUCGGUUGCUAUACUCCUCAUGGUCCCCACCAGCUGUACUGGCUUGGCUCAACACACUGCCCUGUCGCCGGAGUCUCCUUGGCCGCCCCAGGCUCAGCCGCUUGAAGAAGGAGGCAUUGCGGAAGGAGCCUUUCCGCCAGGUUUCCAUGGGACCCAGAGAGCUGGCAGACCAGCCCGGUACCUUGCAAGCCCAGUUUAAGAGUGGCUAGGGACGAUCUGGUCCCUGCUGGAGCAGUGAAUGACAAGAAUUGGGGAGACAACACAUGUGGGCUUCCAGCAGAUGCCUCCGGCUUUCUGUUCAGCACAGCUCAGGCCAGCAUCUUGGAUGGAAGAGGAGAGCAGAGUGGUGGCUCAGUAUUGUCCGAGAGGGACUACGAAAGCCUCGUCAUGAUGCGCAUGCGCCAAGCAGCUGAGCGGCAGCAGCUGAUCACCCAGAUGCAGCAGGAGGACAAGGUGGGGCAGCCCACGUAGCUUUCAGCCCUUCCACC